rnacentral:pre_miRNA from 1 species
GGAACUUGUUACAAAUGCAAGCUCUCAAGCACUAUCCCAGAAUCACUGAACCAAAUUCAUGCGGGAUAGAGUCCAAGAAUCUGCAUUUUAGGGCGCCUG